GACGAACGCUGGCGGCGUGCUUAACACAUGCAAGUCGAACGGAAAGGCCUUUUCGGAGGUACUCGAGUGGCGAACGGGUGAGUAACACGUGGGUGAUCUGCCCUGCACUCUGGGAUAAGCCUGGGAAACUGGGUCUAAUACCGGAUAGGACCGCACUUUAGUGUGUGUGGUGGAAAGUUUUUUCGGUGUAGGAUGAGCCCGCGGCCUAUCAGCUUGUUGGUGGGGUAAUGGCCUACCAAGGCGGCGACGGGUAGCCGGACUGAGAGGUUGGUCGGCCACAUUGGGACUGAGAUACGGCCCAGACUCCUACGGGAGGCAGCAGUGGGGAAUAUUGCACAAUGGGCGCAAGCCUGAUGCGGCGACGCCGCGUGGGGGAGGACGGCCUUCGGGUUGUAAACUCCUUUCGCCAGGGACGAAGCGUUUUGUGACGGUACCUGGAGAAGAAGCACCGGCUAACUACGUG
rnacentral:rRNA from 1 species